rnacentral:misc_RNA from 1 species
UCUCUCUCUCUCACACACACACAAUUGAUUUUAUCAAAUUGUGUUUUAGGAAAAGGAAAAUGCUUUAACUGCAUAUGCGGCAAUAUAAUUGCGAGUUAUUAUUAUCCAGCAUGGCUAAACUCUCAAUAUAUUAGACUUUGGUGACCAGAAGUCAUCGUCUAUUGGAGUUGGUGGGGAUAUAUUUUUGCUUCUAAUUUUACAAGCUUUGAAAUUGUGCAUUUUCAGGUCUCUAGUAGCAGUUGUGUUCCCCUCCUUGUGCAUUGCCUGAGCAUCAAUUUCAAUUUUUUAAGGGCUUUGAUCGACUAUCAUUGUACUAGUUAUUAUGAUAACUUAUGUUGCCUUGUGAUUAGUUUAUAAUGGUAUAUCUUUUGUUGCUUGUAUCAUGGAAGGGAUCAGAAUGGAAGGAGAAAGCAGAA